rnacentral:snRNA from 1 species
GUGCUUGCUUCGACAGCACAUACAGUAAAAAUGGAAUGAUACAGAGAAGAUCAGCCUCUGCCUUGCACAAGGAUGCAUUCAAAUGUAUGAAGCAUUCCAUUUUCCA